UACGGAGGAUUCAAGCGUUAUCCGGAUUUACUGGGUGUAAAGGGUGCGCAGGCGGCCUGUUAAGUCAGCGGUAAAAGCCCGGGGCUCAACCCCGGCGAGCCGUUGAAACUGGCGUUCUUGAGUGAGCGAGAAGUAUGCGGAAUGCGUGGUGUAGCGGUGAAAUGCAUAGAUAUCACGCAGAACCCCGAUUGCGAAGGCAGCGUACCGGCUCCACACUGACGCUGAGGCACGAAAGCGUGGGUAUCGAACAGG
rnacentral:rRNA from 1 species